AUUGAACGCUGGCGGCAGGCUUAACACAUGCAAGUCGAACGAUGAAGAUAUAGCUUGCUAUAUCGGAUUAGUGGCGGACGGGUGAGUAACACUUAGGAAUCUACCUUUUAGCGGGGGAUAGCUCGGGGAAACUCGAAUUAAUACCGCAUAAUUUCUACGGAAUAAAGAGGGCUUUUAGCUCUCACUAGAAGAUGAGCCUAAGUAAGAUUAGCUAGUUGGUGGGGUAAAAGCCUACCAAGGCGACGAUCUUUAGCUGGUCUGAGAGGAUGAUCAGCCACACUGGGACUGAGACACGGCCCAGACUCCUACGGGAGGCAGCAGUGGGGAAUAUUGGACAAUGGGGGCAACCCUGAUCCAGCCAUGCCGCGUGUGUGAAGAAGGCCUUUUGGUUGUAAAGCACUUUAAGCAGUGAAGAAGACCUAUUGGUUAAUACCCAAUAGCGAUGACAUUAACCGCAGAAUAAGCACCGGCUAACUCUGUGCCAGCAGCCGCGGUAAUACAGAGGGUGCAAGCGUUAAUCGGAAUUACUGGGCGUAAAGCGAGCGUAGGUGGUUAAAUAAGUCAGAUGUGAAAGCCCUGGGCUCAACCUAGGAACGGCAUCUGAAACUAUUUAACUAGAGUAGGUGAGAGGGAAGUAGAAUUUCAGGUGUAGCGGUGAAAUGCGUAGAGAUCUGAAGGAAUACCGAUGGCGAAGGCAGCUUCCUGGCAUCAUACUGACACUGAGGCUCGAAAGCGUGGGUAGCAAACAGG
rnacentral:rRNA from 1 species